AGCUUGAACACUGUGAAGUGCAGAUGGAGAUGCCACCAGGCAGACACAGAAAGAAGCUACUGAAGGCCAAACACAGCAAGAAAAUCUUGCAAGCAGCUGGAGAUUAAUGUCCCAUGGCACACAAGACAACUCUUCUCAAGUCACUCUUCUUAAUUCUCCACAUUGAGCUAUGAAGGACACCAUACCUUUUUCAGAUUCCCGUGUUACCCUUUCUGGGCUUUCUCAAGAAAAUGCUCCACUCCCACAGGAAGCAGCAGAUCGUGCUGAGCCCUCUGGAAAAAUAUGGCGUAAAUGAGACUUUGCCUCUGAACAGGGAAGCUGGGAAUAGAGGUGAAAAACUACAUCCAUUGCCAAUUUUGUAUAGAGUAGCCUGGAAAAUCUAACAUGUUAUAGAGACACCACUGAGCUCAGCUUUCCACGGAGGGCAGGUCAGCAGUAAUCCCGGCAUUAUGUGCUCUCAGGCCUGUGACCACAACAUAAACACCAGUGAAAGAGAUCUCACGGUCCACUUGUGCACUCCGGUUGAAAAUGCAGGUUAAUCCGUGUUCACGCCAGGUUUGACUCAUAUCAAACCUGGCGUGCUGAGGCACCCGAAGGCUUCUCUGACAAGGGGCUCUGAAGAGAUGGACUGCUGCUGCUCUCAUCGAAAUGAACCAGUUGCACCCGGCUGAUAAAACCAGAGAUUUACUGGAGCAGACAAGCCCCAGCUUAAACAGGCUUCUCUCUUUACUGCAGCCCCUCUGCCGCUCGAAGCAGUCAUCUCUCAUGUCAGGUGUCAUCAGCUAAAACAAUAGAGUGGCGUCCGAGUCCAGCUGAAAAAAGGGUGAUGGCAGAUGGCAGACAGGCCAUGCUCUCCCUAUCAGUAGGGCUGGGUCUACAGCAUCACUCUGAGUCCACGCCAAGAGGCCAGUUGAGACUCCAGUGCAGAACAUAAAGGCUUAGAACUAAGUUCUCUGUACCCUGAAACUUGUCUAUUUCUUCUAAAUCAUCUACAAUUUCUAAAGGAAAACAUAAUUCAUUGUCCUGUUGCCUAAAAGCAGCUGUUGCAGAUGUUUGGAGAGAAGGUGUCUGUAAACACCCUGAAGGCACUAUCCAUCUUUUUUUGGAGAUAGCAUCUCUCAGCAGCAUGGAGCUCACCAAGAAGGCUAAGCUGGCUAGACUGGUCGGUGUUCCCUAGGGAUCUGUCUAUCUCCACCUUUCCAACCAUGGGAUUACCAGCUCACUACACCACACCUGGUGUCUGGGGAUAGAACUCAGGUUUUUAUGCUUGCAAGACAAAUAUUUUAUUGACUGAUUCAUCUCUACAGCUGUUCUUUAUGGUUUUUAUAUUUUUAAUAAAGAGUAUCUUUAUUUCAAUGGAUGAUGUCUUAAAUAUUAUUAAAUUGCUUCAGGAGACCAAACUUACAUGUGAAUAGAUUUAAAGCAUAAAGAAAGCCACACGUGGAUUGAUCCUAACAU